UAGGGGGGGGGCAAGCGUUGUUCGGAAUUACUGGGCGUAAAGGGCGCGUAGGUGGCCCGCCAAGCGUGCGGUGAAAGCUCGGGGCUCAACCCCGAGUCGGCCGUGCGAACUGGUGGGCUUGAGCACUGUAGAGGCAGGCGGAAUUCCGGGUGUAGCGGUGGAAUGCGUAGAGAUCCGGAAGAACACCGGUGGCGAAGGCGGCCUGCUGGGCAGUAGCUGACACUGAGGCGCGACAGCGUGGGGAGCAAACAGG
rnacentral:rRNA from 1 species